UACGUAGGUGGCAAGCGUUGUCCGGAAUUAUUGGGCGUAAAGCGCGCGCAGGCGGCCUCUUAAGUCUGAUGUGAAAGCCCCCUGCUCAACCGGGGAGGGCCAUUGGAAACUGGGAGGCUUGAGUAUAGGAGAGAAGAGUGGAAUUCCACGUGUAGCGGUGAAAUGCGUAGAGAUGUGGAGGAACACCAGUGGCGAAGGCGACUCUUUGGCCUAUAACUGACGCUGAGGCGCGAAAGCGUGGGGAGCAAACAGG
rnacentral:rRNA from 1 species